rnacentral:tRNA from 1 species
UCUGAAAUAGGUCAGUUGGUAGAACAUCAGAUUAUAAUUCGAAGGGUCCUUUGUUCAAUCCCGGGUUCCAGCA